ACAAUGGAGAGUUUGAUCCUGGCUCAGGAUGAACGCUAGCUACAGGCUUAACACAUGCAAGUCGAGGGGAAACGAUAUUGGAAGCUUGCUUCCGAUAGGCGUCGACCGGCGCACGGGUGAGUAACGCGUAUCCAACCUGCCCACCACUUGGGGAUAACCUUGCGAAAGUAAGACUAAUACCCAAUGACGUCUCUAGAAGACAUCUGAAAGAGAUUAAAGAUUUAUCGGUGAUGGAUGGGGAUGCGUCUGAUUAGCUUGUUGGCGGGGUAACGGCCCACCAAGGCGACGAUCAGUAGGGGUUCUGAGAGGAAGGUCCCCCACAUUGGAACUGAGACACGGUCCAAACUCCUACGGGAGGCAGCAGUGAGGAAUAUUGGUCAAUGGACGAGAGUCUGAACCAGCCAAGUAGCGU
rnacentral:rRNA from 1 species